rnacentral:piRNA from 1 species
UAAGAGGGUGGCCCGAGAGAACCCUAGUG